rnacentral:rRNA from 1 species
CGGGUGAGUAACGCGUGGGUAAUCUGCCCUCUACUGGGGAAUAACUAACCGAAAGGUUAGCUAAUACCGCAUGAGACCACAGCUCCUGAGGGAGCAGAGGUUAAAGAUUUAUCGGUAGGGGAUGAGCCCGCGUGGGAUUAGCUAGUUGGUGGGGUAACGGCCUACCAAGGCUACGAUCUCUAACAGGUCUGAGAGGAUGACCUGUCACACUGGAACUGAGACACGGUCCAG